UCUAGUGGAAAUAUGUUAUUGCUCUCAUCACAUUUUAAAAUUCUAUCUUAGCAAAAUAUAAUCUCAUAUGUCCAUCUAGUUACGAUUUUACGUGGAUUGUGGUUGCUGGUAAUGCGUGAUACAAUGAUAUCCACGUUACAUGAAAUGACUUGUCUUUGUUAGUGCAAUCUGACUGUAAAAAAAAUAUUUCCCAUUUUGAUUAUUUAGAGGAAUAUCGUGUUCAAGGGUAGAAUAGAAAAAAACAACCAUUUGUUAUCUCAAUAAUCUUUUUUCUCAUUCUUCCCUGCCUAACUCUCUCUCGCGUCCGAUCGUAGUUUUGUGAAGCUCCGGCGUCCGACCGCGCGUCCGAGCGCGUGACGGCGCCGGAGGCGCCUCUCCUCUCCCGUCAUCUUCGUCUGAUCUUUGCUUCGCCAUGGUCAUGUCUCCCUCUUCGUUUUCUUCGCGGCUGUGUGUCGGGAGUCUCGUCGGUCUCGUCUCCGUACGCAAGGAGCUCCGGUCCGGCGCAGUUCUACUCGGUCAUGGAGUCCGGAGGCGGUGGGUGGUGUGGGUUCCAGCGGCAGAGUCGGUUUUUUAGGGUUUUGCAUCCGGCCUUUGUCGUUUGUAGGAUUGGUGGCGCGUGGUGGGGAGCGGUGGUUUGGGCUCCAGAUCCGGUCUGCGGUCGUGUGGCUGCUCCUGUCCGGUUUGUAGCUUGAGCGGUGGUGGUUUGUGGGGUUCUCGGCUCUUCUUGGCGUCUUGAAGCGCUGUGACCUUUUUCAGUCCUCACCUUGGAAGAUUCGGAGGCUUAGUCUAGCUCGGUGCCGUGCUCAGCUGUCGACGCCGGCGUGUGUUGGUGUUAGCAGUGGUGGCGCGUGGAGUGAUGUGGUGAUGCGGUGUCGGUUGGAGUCGUCUAUAACUUCACCGAGGCAUUGUCACAUCCUCUCUUCCAAUUGCUCAUCUCUGCCGUCUUCAGUUUCAGAUCUUCGGAGAAGUUAUGUCGACUUGAUUUCCCCUUGUUUUCAGCUUUUGGUUCAUUGUUCAGUUGUCCCGUUGUCACCGGUUCAGCUUUUAACAGCAGCUUGAUACUUGUACUUCGGUUCUUGGAGUCGGCGUGAGGCGGGGUUUGGUGGUUCCAGCUGGUCAUCUGGUUCCCACUUUCUCCUCGGUGACCCCUCACGGCUUUGCAGCACAUCCCGAUAUAGAGGGUUCAGUUGAAUCCUUGGUAGUGUUGUUUGCUAUCUAAUUGCAGGUUUGGAGCUUGCUCUGUUGCAGAAGAUGUUGCCUUCCCGUACCCGUGUUUUUGCUUGCCGUAAUAGACAGAGGUGAUCGUGUGGUCCUCUUUGUAAUAUGCGGCCUUAGCGUUGUAGUGGAGUUUUCUUCAGGCGAUUGGAUCUUCUGUAAGUUCAUCGGAAACUAGCUACACCGGAAGCGAUGUGAGGAGACCCCGGCAACCGAAGAAAUGAGGUGAAUCUCUCCUCCUCGCGGUUCUCGUUGAAGGCUGGCGAUGCUCAGAAAUGUAGGAUUCUAUUUAGUGGAAUGCGCCGGGGACAUGGGUUGAGCGAAACUAGAUAGGAAAUUUCAGAUUUGGGUAAUUUUGUUCGAACCGGUCUUGUAAUCGAAACUAUUAUUCCCGUUUUCGGGUCGUUAAUUUAAAUUAUAUUAAAAAAAAAAGAGGGUAGAAUAAAAGACAAAGAGAAAUUCAAACGAGUCGACUUUGUAGUUUGUAUUUAUCUGACUAGGAACAAUUAGUGACACAAUGAUGGUGUCGAGUCCGGAUUGAUAUCGAUACAAAUCAAAUCAGUGUUUAAGUAUAAUUCAAAUUACGUUUCAAAUAGUUU